ensembl:lncRNA
CCCUGAUCCAAAUGGUGAAAAACUGGAGACAGGGAAGCAAUGUUUAUAGGGGUGGUGAGUCUGGACCUGAGGGGGAGCUCUGCAAAUCUGCAAUGGGAGCAUUAAAUCUGUGGAUAUCAGCCUGUACACAGCUCCAUGGGACAAGGAUCUGGGACGGAGCAUUCGCUCGAGCAGACCGAGGUACAGCAGCGUCAGUAACGGAAAGCAGAAGCCAGGCAAAGCUCAGUUUAAAAGGCACUAAAAUAAUUACCAUGAGUUUUUGACUCAACGACACAGGGGAGGGACGCUGCGGGUAAGAACAAACCCCACUGCAUUAAGAACGUGCAUGGAGUGACCACGGGCCAUUUGGAGGAAAAAAUCUUUGUUUCCUUUCCCC